rnacentral:rRNA from 1 species
UACGGAGGGUGCAAGCGUUAUCCGGAUUCACUGGGUUUAAAGGGUGCGUAGGCUGUCUGAUAAGUCAUCUGUGAAAUCUAUGGGCUCAACCCAUAGUCUGCAGGCGAAACUGUCGGGCUUGAGUAUGGGAGAGGUGAGUGGAAUUUCCGGUGUAGCGGUGAAAUGCGUAGAUAUCGGAAGGAACACCUGUGGCGAAAGCGGCUCACUGGACCAUUACUGACGCUGAUGCACGAAAGCUAGGGGAGCAAACAGG